UGACCCCAGGUAGGAAGGAGAGC
rnacentral:miRNA from 1 species